rnacentral:rRNA from 1 species
CGCGAAGGCAAGCGGAUCUCUUAAAGCUGUUCUCAGUUCGGACUGCAGUCUGCAACUCGACUGCACGAAGCUGGAAUCGCUAGUAAUCGCGGAUCAGCACGCCGCGGUGAAUACGUUCCCGGGCCUUGUACACACCGCCCGUCACACCAUGGAAGUCUGCAAUGCCCGAAGCCGGUGGCCUAACCACUUACGUGGAAGGAGCCGUCUAAGGCAGGGCAGAUGACUGGGGUGAAGUCGUAACAAGGUAAC